GAUAAAUUUUUUAUGUUUUUCAUAAUUUAUUAUAAAUUUAUUUUACAUGUAAAUUUUAGUAUAAAAUUUUAAUUAUUUUAAAAAUAAUUAUUUAAUAAUAACAGUAAUUAAAAUUAAAAAUUUAAGAAAUUAAGAUUUAGUAAUAUUUAAAUUAAUAACUAAUUUUGUGCCAGCAGUUGCGGUUAAACAAAAGUUAGAUUAAAUUAUUUCAGUAUAUAAUAAAUAAUAAAAUAUUAAAUUAAAUAUUAAAUUAUUAAGUGAAAUUUUAAUUUAAUUAAAAAUUAUAUUUAAAUUAUGAUUUAAUAAAUUUUAAUAUAAACUAGGAUUAGAUACCCUAUUAUUAAAAAUUUAAUUUAAAAUACUAAAAUAGUAAAUAAAAUAUUAUUGAAACUUAAAUAAUAUGGCGGUAUUUUAGUUCAUUUAGAGGAAUCUGUCUAAUAAUUGAUAAUCCACGAAUAAAUUUACUUAAUUUAUAAUUUUGUAUAUCAUUGUUAAAAAAAUAUUUUUAAAUAAAAAUAAUAUUUUAAAAUUCAAAAUAAAAUUUAAUUCAGAUCAAGAUGCAGAUUAUAAUUAAGUUUUAAGAUGGAUUACAAUAAAUUUAUUUAAACGAAAAAAAUUUUGUAAUAUAUGAUUGAAGGUGGAUUUAAAUGUAAUUUUGAUUAAUUUAUUAAAAUGAUUAAUAAUUAAAAUAUGUACAUAUUGCCCGUCACUUUCAUUUAAAAAUUGAAAUAAGUCGUAACAAAGUAGAAGUACUGGAAAGUGUUUCUAGAAUGAA
rnacentral:ncRNA from 1 species